rfam:Ictidomys tridecemlineatus contig001056, whole genome shotgun sequence.
UGGGGACGGGCUUUGUAGUACAGCAUUUGCCUAGUGUGCACAAGGCCCUGGGUUCAAUUCCCAGCACUCCAA